GAUUGCAACAACCCCUCUCUGUAAUCGCGGCUG
rnacentral:ncRNA from 1 species